rnacentral:lncRNA from 1 species
CCUUUGUUACAACUCUCUUCUCAGGCCGAGACGUCGUCCUCGGCUGAGAACUGGGCUGGGAUCUAGAGCUUGGUCCAGAUCCACCACCCUGUUGCAGACGGUCAACCUGGGCCCGGAGAGAGUUUAUCUCCGCACUCUGAGCGGCCACCAUCUGCGCUAUGCGACUGAACAGAAGCAAAACCUUGCCCCCUACGUCCUUUCGUACCUUAUUAUCGGGAUCACCGAGAAACUCAACGAACUCCUCUUCCAUCCCAACCAGUUGUUUGUUGCGCACUACUGAACUGGUAAUCCGGGGAUCCGCAGCCAAAGCCGGCUGGGUGGCAGCUUUUCCGACCAAAAAGCCAUCCCCCUUCUCUCCACUCUGCAAGGAC